rnacentral:rRNA from 1 species
GUGAGGAAUUUUGCGCAAUGGGGGCAACCCUGACGCAGCGACGCCGCGUGGAGGACGAAGUCUUUCGGGAUGUAAACUCCUGUCAGUGGGGACGAUAAUGACGGUACCCACAGAGGAAGCACCGGCUAACUCCGUGCCAGCAGCCGCGGUAAGACGGAGGGUGCAAGCGUUGUUCGGAAUUACUGGGCGUAAAGCGUAUGUAGGCGGCAAGUUAAGUUCAAUGUUAAAGCCCACGGCUCAACCGAGGAGAUGCAUUGAAUACUGGCUAGCUAGAGGGUGUUAGAGGAAGACGGAAUUCCCAGUGUAGCGGUGAAAUGCGUAGAUAUUGGGAGGAACAUCGGUAGCGAAAGCGGUCUUCUGGGACAUACCUGACGCUGAGGUACGAAAGCGUGGGGAGCAAACAGGAUUAGAAACCCUUGUAGUCC